GGAAACACUCCUUCCCAUUCCGAACAGGAAAGUUAAGCUCUACAGCGCCAAUGGUACUGCACGGGAGACUGUGUGGGAGAGUAGGACGUUGCUAGGU
rnacentral:rRNA from 1 species